AUCGCUUCUCAGCCUUUUGGCUAAGAUCAAGUGUAGUAUCUAUUAACUCCCUAUGUUUUCUCUAGGUCCUGCGACUAUUCACAUACUUUUUCUUCAACUAGGAACACCACUUCCCUCCAAACUGUGAGGGUAACAUA
ensembl:snRNA U2 U2 spliceosomal RNA